rnacentral:rRNA from 1 species
UACGGAGGGUGCAAGCGUUGUUCGGAAUUACUGGGCGUAAAGCGCGUGUAGGCGGUUUGGUAAGUCAGAUGUGAAAGCCCUGAGCUCAACUCAGGAAGUGCAUUUGAAACUGUCAUACUCGAGUAUGGGAGAGGAGAGUGGAAUUCCCAGUGUAGAGGUGAAAUUCGUAGAUAUUGGGAGGAACACCCGUGGCGAAGGCGACUCUCUGGACCAAUACUGACGCUGAGACGCGAAAGCGUGGGGAGCAAACAGG